rnacentral:rRNA from 1 species
UACGGGGGGGGGCAAGCGUUGUUCGGAAUUACUGGGCGUAAAGGGCUCGUAGGUGGCCAACUAAGUCAGACGUGAAAUCCCUCGGCUUAACCGGGGAACUGCGUCUGAUACUGGAUGGCUUGAGUUUGGGAGAGGGAUGCGGAAUUCCAGGUGUGGCGGUGAAAUGCGUAGAUAUCUGGAGGAACACCGGUGGCGAAGGCGGCAUCCUGGACCAAUACUGACACUGAGGAGCGAAAGCCAGGGGAGCAAACGGG